AGCCUGCAGGUUAAUACGCGGGAUCCAAAUCUAAUAUUCGAAUGCUCAAAUUUAGGUUCGAACUUUAAAAAAAGAAAGAUUUUCGAAUAGUUUUCGAACUUAUUUUUUGACAGCCCUAGUUCUGUAUACACUCACCGGCCACUUCAAUAGGCAAACCUGUUACACUGCUCGUAAAUAUCUUCUCUCAAAUAUCUAAUCAGCCAAUCACGUGGCAGCAACUCAAUGCAUUUAGGCUUGUAGACAAAAGUCAAGACGAUCUGCUGAAGUUCAAACCAAGCAUCAGAAUGGGAAAGAAAGGUGAUUUAAGUGACUUUGAACGUGGCAUGGUUGUUGGUGCCAGACGGGCUGGUUUAAGUAUUUCAGAAACUGCUGAUCUACUGGGAUUUUCACGCACAUCUCUAGGGUUUACAGAGAAUGGUCCGAAAAAGAGAAAAUACCCAAUGAGCGGCAGUUCUCUGGCUGAAAAUGCCUUGUUGAUGGCAGAGGUCAGAGGAGAAUGGCCAGACAGGUUCGAGCUGAUAGAAAGGCAACAGUAACUCAAAUAACCACUCGUUACAACCGAGGUAUGCAGAAGAGCAUCUCUGAACGCAAAACACGUCGAACCCUGAAGCAGAAUACCACACCGGGUGCCCCUCCUGUCACCUAAUGAAGUGGCCGGUGAGUGUAUACUCCCAUAGGCUACAUAGAGUGCCCUCCAUGUUUGAGAGAAAAGCAUUCUCCGCAAUUCCAGAUUACAGCACUUCAUACGUGCCAUCUUGCGUUUCAUAAAUUUACCUGAAAGUGAAAUAACAAUCUGAUUGUCCUCCUCGUUUAAAUUAAACUCUUCUUUUUUUUCAAUAUCCAUUCAUAAUACGAUAAAUAAAAUACAAACCAUUCGUUUGUUUGUUUGUCUUUCGCGUUUGCUAGGUCUGCACGACAAACUGUUUCACGGAACUAGCUACGUAUGGUCAGAACCGGAGGUUUCGUAGGUUCGUUUACAUCAGCCAAUCAGACUGCAUCAGACUACCUGUCUGUCUGCAUGCCCUGUACAUUGGACCCAGAAAGAAAAUUUCCUUGGUGGGGAGAUAAGUCUGAUCCAAGUUUCUGGCUAGCUAAUGUUGUUAAAUUAAAUGUUUUGUUAAACUUGCUGUAGUUUAUCAGGCAUCUUACACAAACAUUUCACGUAUAUACAUACUUCAUUAUCAAUUAUCAGGCUGCAGUUUAUAGUUAAAUAACAUAGCGGGCUAAUAUAACAACAAAAUGAAAAAGACAGCAGUUGCGAUGAAAAAAUCGAAAGACGCCAAAACAUGAAUUCAAGCUUAUAAGCUGGACACGGACUACAAACUUUCAAGACAAAAAUGAAUAUAGCCAUAGUCAUUGUUCUUUUGAGCAUUUUUUGAAGAUAACAGGAGUCAUCUCAUUGAUACAUUGUCAAGAGCUGACACCAUGAAGAUGGCAGAUCUCUUGCUUCAGAAUAAAUAUAUUAGCGAUGCAACUUAUGAAACAAUUCAUAAAGAGCCCCUUCAACCAGAUAAAGUGAGAGCACUGUAUCAUGCUAUGAAACCUGGGGAUCUGCGGUCAUACCUUGUCUGUUAUGAGUACCUGGAAAAAUGGCAGCCAUGCUUCAUUGAGAAUCUGGAAAGAAAGACUGGGGAUGAAACUGCCUCUGAGCCUUUGAGAAAGAAGGCAAGGAUUGAGGAACCUGAUCAGACCCAAGCCCAAGACGCCACGAAUGAAACUGACUCUGGGUCCACUCCGAAUUUUACAGGCUGGACUCGCUCCAAAUUGCUGGAGCAUGUUGAGGAUCCAGUUAACAUAAAACAUCUGGUAACUUCAUUGGAACAAAGACUUGAAGACAGAGAGAUGGAACAACUUGAAAGCAUGCUACAGAACUGUGCACUUAAAAAUACAGUUUUUUUAAACCAUGAAGCCUUUAGGGAUAUAUGCAUCAACAAGGAACUGUCAAACUUCUUGAUAUCCAAAAGCCAGGCAAAAUUUCCCAAACUGGCUAUUGAUCAGUUUUUUACAGGGGGUUUUAAAACAAGGAGACCUAAGCCUUUAAGAACCCAGGAUGACCCAGAAAAGGACAACGGCGACUCUGGAACAAUGCAGAACAGGCAGUCUGCAGAGCUUUCUAGAAUGCAGGAAGAGAGUUUUGACCAAAACUCUUUAAAUAGCCCUGGAGUCCAGGACAUGACAGGGAUGGACACAGAAUUAUCUCUUCCUACAGCUCAAUCUACUCCCUGUCAUUCCAAAAUGGAAACCAAUUCAAUCAGAAUGCAAAAAUCACUGACUGUGUCUUCUGACAAUGGUUAUGAUACUUCAACCCAAAAGUCUUCACUGAGCAUGCACGACCCACCACAAGAAGCCCAAAGAGAAUUCAAGACCAGCAUCGGGACACUGACCCCACCUUCAGAGUGUCAACAGUCAAUCUCUGGUGAGGCUGUAGCUGAAGAUGGAGCUACGACCUCAGAAGUGACCUCAGCUGCUACACCUGCAGCUUUAGCCUCAGCUGCUACACCUGCAGCUAUGGCCUCAGCUGCUACACCUGCAGCUA